rfam:Candidate division Zixibacteria bacterium SM23_81 WORSMTZ_2197, whole genome shotgun sequence.
CUCUCCGAUGCCAAAAGCCUGGACGCCCAGGCAGGCCUGGAGAGCGGCACGGGCGCUAUCCUGGCCGCCCUGGCGGGCAUUAACGUAGUCUCCGGUCCCG